rnacentral:rRNA from 1 species
UCCAACCGGUGGCAACACUGGUGAAGACUUAGUGGCGAACGGGUGAGUAUCACGUGAGCAACCUGCCCCGAAGACUGGGAUAACACCGGGAAACCGGUGCUAAUACCGGAUACCCCCACCGGAUCGCAUGGUCUGGUGAGGAAAUGAAUUUUGCUUUGGGAGGGACUCGCGGCCUAUCAGCUUGUUGGUGGUGUAACGGACCACCAAGGCUUCGACGGGUAGCUGGUCUGAGAGGACGAUCAGCCGCACUGGGACUGAGACACGGCCCAGACUCCUACGGGAGGCAGCAGUGGGGAAUCUUGCGCAAUGGGCGAAAGCCUGACGCAGCAACGCCGCGUGAGGGACGAAGGCCUUCUGGG